CCAGAUACCGCAGUCAAUACUUCAAAGGAAAAUGAUGCGAAUUUGUCGAACGGCUGCAAUGGAACGGAAAAUGUUUCUGAGAAAAAGGCAGUUUGAAUAGAAUCCCCGUUAAUAGUACCACCUAUCCUAAGAACAGCUACUACCACAAACACUACCACUUUUACUACUACUACCAACCACUACUCUCUACCUACCAUCACAACCUACCUACUUCCACCAAAUGUGGGAUCCUACGAGAGCCAAGCACGCCAAACAGUGAUAAAGAUGGCCAAAAAGUGUCAAAUCUACAAAAGAAAAAACAAUAACAAAAAAUAACUUUAAAAGUGACAAAGUUGAUUCAGAAUAACAAUAUUACAAAAUAACAUCGACAAUUAUUGAUUAUGUAGUAGUACUCGUAUGUAGUUCUGUAAGAUAAAAUAUUUCUUUUUGUAAAAAUAAUUUUAAAACAUGUUUUUAUCCAGUAAUAAUAAAAACAACUAACACGAUUUUAAA